AACGAACGCUGGCGGCAUGCCUAACACAUGCAAGUCGAACGAGAUCUUCGGGUCUAGUGGCGCACGGGUGCGUAACGCGUGGGAAUCUGCCCUUUGGUUCGGAAUAACAGUUGGAAACGACUGCUAAUACCGGAUGAUGACGAAAGUCCAAAGAUUUAUCGCCAGAGGAUGAGCCCGCGUAGGAUUAGCUAGUUGGUGUGGUAAAGGCGCACCAAGGCGACGAUCCUUAGCUGGUCUGAGAGGAUGAUCAGCCACACCGGGACUGCGACACGGCCCAGACUCCUACGGGAGGCAGCAGUGGGGAAUAUUGGACAAUGGGCGAAAGCCUGAUCCAGCAAUGCCGCGUGAGUGAUGAAGGCCGUAGGGUUGUAAAGCUCUUUACCCGGGAUGAUAAUGACAGUACCGGGAGAAUAAGCUCCGGCUAACUCCGUGCCAGCCGCCGCCGUAA
rnacentral:rRNA from 1 species